AACGAACGCUGGCGGCAGGCCUAACACAUGCAAGUCGAGCGAGGGCUUCGGUUCUAGCGGCGGCCGGGUGAGUAACCCGUGGGAAUGUUCCCUUCUCUACGGACUACCUCUGAGACACUGGGAGUAAUAGCGUAUACGCCCUAUUAGGGGAAGAUUUUUCGGAGAAGGAUCAGCCCGCGUUGGAUUAGGUAGUGGGUACGGUAAUGGCCUACUACGCCGACGAUCAGUAGCUGGGUUGAGAGGAUGAUCAGCGACUCUGAGACUAAGACCCGGCCCAGACUCCUACGGGAGGCGGCAGUGGGUAAUCGUACAAAAUGGCGGCAACGCUGAUGUAGCCAGGCCGCGAGAGCGAUGUAAGCAGUAAGGUUGUAAAGCUCUUGCAGCUGUGAAGAUAAUGACGGUACCAGCAGAAGAAGCCCCGGCUAACUACGUG
rnacentral:rRNA from 1 species